UUCCCUGCGAAUGAUUUUUAGCGAGUAGCGAAUAAUUCGCCACGAAUAGUUACCUCAAUAAAGUUAGCCGGACAAUUUCAACUUUAAACAUUUUUGUUUAUAUGAAUCGUUUGUUAGUGGUUUGUUGUUGAUUGUUAGAUUAAUUAAAACAUUUGUUAGACAAUAUUUUCUAUGUAAAUACGAAAACAAUUUUUAAUGUCAAGAUAGCCGGUAAAUUACAAUUUUUGUUUCAAAAUAGGUUUAAUCGAUGCGGAAUCGUUUGUUGUUUCCGAAUAAACUAAUUAAAACGUUUGUUUCAUAAUGAAAAAAGAUCAUGUGCAUGGUAAAUGGAAUGCAAGUUCACAUUCGGUGUUGUAUUUCUCAAAUUUCUCAAUGCAAAAAUAUGGGCGUAAACGGCGGCCUGGCCGCUCUCAGGUUCCUCUCUGGUUCGGCAAAAAGUACAAGAAGGUAUUGUUGUUCUUAAUAUUGACGGAAUAUAUUGCUGGAUUUAUAGUAAAAUAAUUAAAGAGAACGAUAACGUGUAUCAUAUGUGCAAAAUAUUUGGAGGCAAAUGAUACUACAAACUUAUUGCUACUAAAAACAAGUAGAGGAAUUAAGCUUUUAAUGGACAACAGCGAGUGCGCUGCAACGAGGGAGGUAUCCGCAGAAAAGAAAGCGAUUUUCGAGUUUCUACUCUAUCAAUUGGGAGCCAUGUCUCUUGAUAGUUCCCCGUUGCAAUGGUGGCUUCGAACGUCCACGAAGUGCCCGAACUUGACGAAGUUGGCGAACAAAUAUUCCUGCGUGCCCGCGUGUUGCGCACCGCCAACACGAAUUCCGCAAAUGCAAUACUAUACGAGGCGAGCGGCAUUACCUCAUCAUUUGAUUGACAAAUUACUCUUCUUGCACGGCAAUUAUACAUAAAAUUAAUAUUUUUAUUUAGUAUACCUAUACUGUAAUACAAAGCAAAUAUACAUAUACAUGAUA